UACAGAGGGUGCAAGCGUUAAUCGGAAUUACUGGGCGUAAAGCGCACGCAGGCGGUUUGUUAAGUCAGAUGUGAAAUCCCCGGGCUCAACCUGGGAACUGCAUCCGAAACUGGCAGGCUUGAGUCUUGUAGAGGGGGGUAGAAUUCCAGGUGUAGCGGUGAAAUGCGUAGAGAUCUGGAGGAAUACCGGUGGCGAAGGCGGCCCCCUGGACAAAGACUGACGCUCAGGUGCGAAAGCGUGGGGAGCAAACAGG
rnacentral:rRNA from 1 species